UUAUUAUUCUUUGAUCGUGUUCAAGAUGGUGUUGAUUGUGCAGCCAGAACCUUUGUACUACUCUAGCAUAGAUUACAAGAUUUUGGAAUGACUCUUUGGCCUUCCCAAGAUGAGGAAUUUUGGACAACUGGAUAUAAAUUUGAUUCUGAUGAUUUGUUUGUUGGUGAUAGCUUAACUUUGUUGGGGGAGGUUUUCUAAAUCUUCAUUACUGUUUUGUCGUUUUUAUUGUGAUUUAUGAUGAUGAUACUCCUAAAAAGAUUCCCUAUUCAUUAUAGUGGCCAAAGGACUCUUCUGUAUUUGGAGAAGCCAAAAUCAUGUCAUUUCAUAUGGGUACAUGAUCUUGCAAAUUGGAUGGAAAUUUGGUCAACUCUUAUAAGACUCUUCUUUACAUUUCAGUGUUAUUUUUUAUACUCAACACAUAAAAGGUCGGUUCCGUUGAGUUUUCUUUGUUGUUGUUAUAGGGGAGAGAGCCUAUAAAUGUGUGGUUCACUGUGGAACCCAUGGCAGGCAGAGGUUGACAUACUUACUCUUCAGCUUGGGAUUUUGGAUAGUGUUAGUUUUUGUGUAUAUGGUAUCAGGAAUGUAUGUAUGAAUGAAGCAAGGAUGAGGAACUCGUGACAACUUGCUUUGGCACCACAAUCUGCAAUUGGCUGCUGUUGAUGUGCUUUCAUUUGGUUAUCUCUACUCUGACUAUGCACUCUUCAUGUUUCUUUGUAUAUUUUGAGGAUAUAGUUUUCUUUGAUUCCAAGGACUUGUUUGUGCUUUGGUGUUACAGAGGAGAGCUGUGAAUGUACUGUUGGAUUUGAAAGUUUUGAGCCUUUGGAUUCAACGGGUUACUUUUUCCUUGAGUGUUUGUUCUGGAAUAGGUGUCCUAUUAUGAUGCGGCAGUGCUGGUAUUUAUUUAUGUUUAGAAUUAUGAAUCUAAGUAUUAGCAGUGCAUCUAUUUUCUUGUAUAAUCAAGAUAUAAGUUUGUUUUGCAGUGACUUGAACGUUUGUAGAUAUUUUGAUACAUUUCGUAUUGAUGAUAAUCGAUAAGAAUGAUAAUGGCUACAGAUACAUAGAUCAAGUUUCUUCAAUGAAGUCGUUCUUUAUUAUUUUUAUUUUUGCGCUUCCAUUGUAAGAUACAAAUUGAAUUGUGAACUUGUUUUUCUGCAGUGUGGUUUUUCAAAAUAAUGAUGUUCAUUCAUCAUAGCAUGGGAGCCUCAAGUUUUGGUUUGCCUAUUUCUUUUUAAAACAUAUUUUUUCGAUAUUUUAUUCCCUUUGGUGAUGCAGGGACGAUAAUAAUUUUCUUUCUCUUGUUUGAUCUUCCGGUUUUGUAUUCUGAUUAUUUUCUCUGGUAUUUUGAUUGUGAGGUUUGAUUUGAUUCUGGCUUUAAUGCAUGUUAUUUUCUGCGGUGCAGUGUGUUUUGAAACAAUAACAUUUUAUUAGCAUCAAGCCUCAGGUUUUAUUCUGGUCUAUUCUGAUCUUGAUUUCAGGGAUCGCUGUUCUCGUUUUCUAUGAUCCGUCGCUGUAAACGCAUUGAUAUGGUUUUUUCAGAUAGUAGAUAUCAAGAAUUUCACACUAUCACACACCUCUAUUCACUCUUUUACGCAUCAUCGGUUAUUUCAAUAAUUUUGGAUACAAUUCUUCAUUUGAUAAUGAGACGUGCAUUUAUCCGUUUUGCUUUUACAGUGAGCUGAAAAGUUUUGGUGUCUAUGUAGAGCGACUUGAUGCAAUAGACAAGAUUGGAGAACGGUCCCGGAUAGAUAAAUCAAAUUUUUUCAAUGAAUAUCUUUUUACUAUUUUUUAGAAUUUGAUUUUAAGCAAAUUGAAUUAAGACCAUAUUUUUAUGCAGCUUGAUUUGUCAAAGAUGGAGCCCAGAAUUUUGAUUUGGUGAUAGCAUGUUUUUCUGCAGCAUGGUUUGUCAAAAUAUUAACCUUCUUCAUAGUAUGGUUUGUGUAUACAAUAUGAACAAUAUGAAUUCAUAGAGGAGAAGACAAAAAGAUAUUCUAAGACAACGAAUGCUAAUCACUAUUUAAAUAGAUGCAAUCAUGAAGAAAAAAAUAAAUAAUAAGUAAUAUAAAAUCUAAUCUUUAAAGAUAUUCUAAGAUUCUAAGAUACUUUAAUAUAAUAUCAAGAUACUAAAGAAUUUUUGGAUAUUUUAACGGUUUGAUCUUAUGUUAUGUAAUCUUUUGAUGUUAUUUGGUUGUUGGUUUUAUCAAGAUACAGUAGUAUGUUUUGAAACAAUGAACUUCUAUUAUGAAGCAAUCAGGUUUAAUUUCGUACACACUCUUGGAUUGUGAAUUAUGUUGGUAUUGAAAAGUUCAGUUGUAGGGUUUCCUUAUGCCAUCAAUACAUUUAAGUUUUUGACUUGUAUAAUCUGACAGUGUGAAAGUUGCAAAAUUCUGGAUAAAUUGGGAGUGAACAGCUUUGUGGAGCUCUCUUCCUAACUACGAUCUUCUGAUCAGGGACUUGGUUUGGAGAAUUAUGCUUGUCUUUAUUUAUUCAUAGCUUUUUCUACAACUAUUUGUCACAUCGUGAUUUUAUUAUUCUUUGAUCGUGUUCAAGAUGGUGUUGAUUGUGCAUCCAGAACCUUUGUACUACUCUAGUAUAGAUUACAACAUUUUGGAAUGACUCUUUGGCCUUCCCAAGAUGAGGAAUUUUGGACAACUGGAUAUAAAUUUGAUUCUGAUCAUGAUUUGUUUGUUGGUGAUAGCUUAACUUUGUUGGGGGAGGUUUUCUAAAUCUUCAUUACUGUUUUGUCGUUUUUAUUGUGAUUUAUGAUUUAUGAUGAUGAUGAUACUCCUAAAAAGAUACCCUAUUCAUUAUAGUGGCCAAAGGACUCUUCUGUAUUUGGAGAAGCCAAAAUCAUGUCAUUUCAUAUGGGUAUAUGAUCUUGCAAAUUGGAUGGAAAUUUGGUCAACUCUUAUAAGACUCUUCUUUACAUUUCAGUGUUAUUUUUUAUACUCAACACAUAAAAGGUCGGUUCCGUUGAGUUUUCUUUGUUGUUGUUAUAGGGGAGAGAGCCUAUAAAUGUGUGGUUCACUGUGGAACCCAUGGCAGGCAGAGGUUGACAUACUUACUCUUCAGCUUGGGAUUUUGGAUAGUGUCAGUUUUUGUGUAUAUGGUAUCAGGAAUGUAUGUAUGAAUGAAGCAAGGACGAGGAACUCGUGACAACUUGCUUUGGCACCAGAAUCUGCAAUUGUCUGCUGUUGAUGUGCUUUCAUUUGGUUAUCUCUACUCUGACUAUGCACUCUUCAUCUUUCUUUGUAUAUUUUGAGGAUAUAGUUUUCUUUGAUUCCAAGGACUUGUUUGUGCAUUGGUGUUACAGAGGAGAGAGCUGUGAAUGUACUGUUGGAUUUGAAAGUUUUGAGCCUUUGGAUUCAACGGGUUACUUUUUUCCUUGAGUGUUUGUUCUGGAAUAGGUGUCCUAGUAUGAUGCGGCAGUGCUGGUAUUUAUUUAUGUUUAGAAUUAUGAAUUUAAGUAUUAGCAGUGCAUCUCUUUUCUUGUAUAAUCAAGAUAUAAGUUUGUUUUGCAGUGACUUGAACGUUUGUAGAUAUUUUGAUACAUUUCGUAUUGAGCGGAUCGAUUUUGAUUUCUAGAUAUCUGGAACAAUUUGCAAUUAUUGAUGAUAAUCGAUAAGAAUGAUAAUGGCUACAGAUACAUAGAUCAAGUUUCUUCAAUGAAGUCGUUCUUUAUUAUUUUUAUUUUUGCGCUUUCAUUGUAAGAUACAAAUUGAAUUGUGAACUUGUUUUUCUGCAGUGUGGUUUGUCAAAAUAAUGAUGUUCAUUCAUCAUAGCAUGGGAGCGUCAAGUUUUGGUUUGCCUAUUUCUUUUUAAAACAAAUUUUUUCGAUAUUUUAUUCCCUCUGGUGAUGCAGGGACGAUAAUAAUUUUCUUUCUCUUGUUUGAUCUUCCGGUUUUGCAUUCUAAUUAUUUUCUCUGGUCUUUUGAUUGUGUGGUUUGAUUUGAUUCUGGCUUUAAUGCAUGUUAUUUUCUGGGGUGCAUUGUGUUUUGAAACAAUAACAUUUUAUUAGCAUCAAGCCUUAGGUUUUAUUCUGGUCUACUUGGAAUGCAAAUUAUUUUCAUUUAAUUUUUAAUAUUCCAAUUCUUUUUUUUUUUUUGACGUAAGUAGAGAUUUUUUUGGUCUUUUGUUUGUGUUUUGGGACAAGCUUGGUGGCCCUCUCUUUGUCAUGCUACUUUUCUUUCUUGGAUCUUUUUCUACAACCUGUUUGUUACAGCCUAAUUUUAUUUUUUAUAUAUGGUAUUAACAGAGUAAGUACAAGUGUUAGGUAAAAUCUGUCUCAAGUUUCUUUGUCACUUUGUGCUGCUUAUCUUUUGUAUACGAAUUAGCCAUAAUGUUCAGCUGGCUGUGAUAUAUAUUUUUUUUCUAGGCUUUAAUUUGGUGAUCUGUACUCAUAUUUGAAUUCUUUACAUUUCAUUAUGGUGAAUGUUUAUGGUGAGGUUAUCACAUACCUCUUUUUAUCUUUGGGAAAUAAUUGGUAAUUGAUAAGUUAUAAUUAUUUCUUGGUGCAUUGAAGUUUCUAUAACAUGAAUUUUACUCGGUUGUUUAGCAUAUAAGAUUCUGGAGUAACUCUUUCUUUCCCAAGAUGAGGAAUUUUGGACAACUUGGUUAGGUGCAGUUUGUUAUGAUGAUCUGUUUCAUCGGCCCAAGAACUCCUCUGGUAUUAAGGUAGAAGAUUAAAUUGGGACGUUUCAUAUUGAGCACAACAUGAUAUUGCAAAUUGGUGUAGUAUUGCUUUAAUUUUGUCAUCUCUACUAUAAGAAAGACUUCAUAUUUAUAUCUUUUUGAUACUCAUCAACUAUUAUGCAAGACAACUAUGAUUGUGUAUUUUUUUGGGAUAGUGUUGGAACAUGAGUAUGAAGCAUUUAAGAUUCCCGAAUACAUCUCUUUGCCAUCCCCAAGGAUGAGGAACUGGACAAGCUUGGUUUGCACUUUUUUGUUCUUUUGACUUUUCAUUUAUGGAUUGGUUAUGAAGAAUUCUUUGCACAAUUUAUCGGAUAAAAUUCUUUAUUGGAUAAUCAAAAUAUGUGUUAAUCCGUUUUGCAGAUAUAUGAAGUCAUUGGAUAUGUAGAACAUUUUGUGAUUGCUUUUAUGAGAAUUUCACACCAUCAAACUUCUCUUGACUCUUCUUUAACUGAUCAAAAUUUUGUUUUGUAUAAUUCUUCGUUUGAAAAUCAAGAGAUGCGAAGUUUCGAUGUUUAGAAUGACUUGAUACAAAGGACAAGAAUGGAGAAGAUAAAUCAAAUUUCUUCAAUGAGUCGUUCUAUACUAUUUUUAUUUAAUUUUGGCCUUUGAUUUCAAGACGUAGGAAUUGAAGUUUGAACAUAUUUUUCUAGUUUGUCAAAAUAAUAACCUUCUAAUUUGUGAUUGUGCUUGGCUGGUUGUACUUGUUAUCGUGCUUCCAUUCGGAAAUCUCUUUUCUGACUAUGAAUUUUUCAUGUUUCUUUGUUUGUUUUGAGGAUCAAUACUUAAUUCCUUCAUCAGUUUCUGUGGUGUUACAAGGGUGAGAGACUAUGAAUUACUGUGCGACUUGAAAGCUGUGGUAGACAUUAUUAAGGAAAAGCUUUGAGCCUUUGGAUAUAGCGGGUCAAUUUUCCUUGAAUUUACUUGUUCUGGAAUAGGUGUCCUAUGAUUUUUAUGUCCACAAUUACAAGUCUUAAUAUUUGGAGAGCUUUAGUAAUUAUGAUUUUAUAGUACAUAUCUAUCUCUUUCUUGGAUUAUCUCCAGAUAUACAUCUAUUUUGCAGUGAGUUGAAGUUUGAUAUAAUAAAGGAGAGUGAAGAUAAAUCAUGUUUCUUCAAUGAAUCAUUCUUUACUAUUUUUUACUUUCGAGCUUUGUUCAUAUGACAUACAAACUCAAAUUGCGAAUAUACCUUUCUGCAGCAUGGUUUGGCGAAAUCCUAGCGUAGAGCCUCGUGUUUUGAUUUGGAGAUCUCUAGUAAAUUCUUUUUAUUUCAGUGUUUCAUUAUUGAUUCUAGGACGAUAUAUUUCUUUAUGUUACUUUUCUCUAUGGUUUUGCAGGAGAGGUUGUUUAUAAACACACAUUUGGUUCUGGUUCUAUUCUCUCACUAUUUUUUCUUUUGUACUCUGGUCUCUUGAUGUUGAGGUUUGAUUUGGUGGUUGCUAGUUAAUACUAAAAAUAGAAGAAUAUUGAGAUAUUUGUUUAUCUAUUUUGCAGCAAGUUGGAUUUUGGAUAUAUGAAACAAUUUGCGAUUAAUGGAUAAGAACGAUUAUGGCUAUAUACAUAAUCAAAUUUCAUCAAUAAGUCGUUCUUUAUUACUUUUAGUUUUGGGCUUUGAUUGCAAAGACAUACAAAUUGAAUUGUGAAUUUGUUUUUCUGCAGCAGCGUGGUUUGUGAAAAUCAAAAUAAUAACUAUCUUUCAUCAUAGCGUGGAGCCUUCAUGUUUUGAUUUUCUUAUCUCUCUUAAAUUAUUUUAGUUUUCAAUAACUCUAUUGCUUUUGAAUGCAUAUUUUCUUGAUAUUUUAUUUCCUCUGAUGUUGCAGGAAAGUAAUUUGUGAACACCGAUUCCUUUUGGUUCUGGUUCUAUCUUUUUUUUUAUUAAUCUUCAUGUUUUGUAUUCUUAUUUACUUUUGGUCUUUUGAUUUAGUUCUGCGCUUUGUGAUACUUCUUUAUCCAUGCUUCUCAUUCAUUCUUGGGAUUUAAUUGGUCUUUUUUUUUAUUAUAUGUAUUUGUUCCCAAAUAAUAGUCUUUGAUCGUGUUCAAGCUGAUGUUUUAUUUUGUGUUUCCUCUAGUGUUGAAGUUUUGUGUUUCGGUAUCCACAGCCUUGAGUAUUACUCUGUCAUAGGGUACAAGAUUCUGAAAUAUCUCUCUUUGCCUUCCCAAGUUGAGAAAUUUUGGACAAUUUCGUUACAUCAUGUGUUGUUUGCUUUGAUGGUUUGUUAGUUGGUGACAAAAUAACUUUGUUGGGAAAGGUUUUCUAUAAUUUUCUCUUGUUGCUUUUAUUUUGAUUUGUGAUUUAUGAUUAAUGCGAUGAUACUCCUAAAAAGAUAUCCUCUUCAUUACAGUGGCCUAAGGGCAAGACUUUGGCACCAAGGUACACAAUUCAAUCACUUUUUACUUCACUCCUUCUUGAUGACAUACUGACUUGAGCGUUGGAGUGCUAACAUGUUUUGCAGGUAUCUUUCUCCCCACCGCGAUCCACCGUACCACAAAUCUAACGCCACCGUAACUGCCUUAAGCCUCACCAUUGGAAUUAUCUCAUUCUGAUCUGGUCAGAAUAGAUAAAUCAAUUUAAUAUCUUUUUACUAUUUUUUAGGAUUUGAUUUUAAGCAAAUUGAAUUAAGAACAUGUUUUUGUGCUGCGUUGGUUGUCAAAAUUCAAAAUAUUAACCUUCUUCAUAGCAUGUAGAUGGAGCCAGAAUUUUGAUUUGGUGAUAGCAUGUUUUUCUGCAACCUUUCUUAAUAGCAUGGUUUGUGUAUACAAUAUGAAUUCAUUGAGGAGAAGACAAAAAGAUAUUCUAAGAUACUUUAAAAUAAUAUCAAAGAUACUAAAGAUAUUUUUGGAUAUUUUAACGGUUUGAAUCUUCAUGUUAUGUAAUCUUUUGAGGUUUUAUUUGGUUGUUGGUUUUGAUCUUAAAGUUUGCUGUUCUAUUUUUAUUGAUCUGCUACUAUAAUUAAGUUUCUUUUGUCAAUUGUUUUGUGAAACAGAUGCAUGAUAUGAUUAUCACCUCUUGUUGAAUUGUGAAUUGAAAACAUGUAACUUCUAUUAUGAAGCAAUCAGGUUUAAUUUCGUACAUACUUCUUGGAUUGUGAAUUAUUUUCAAUUCAUUUAUACUCUGUGGAGUUUUAUUGUGCAAUCUUCUCUACAAGUCUAUUUUGAUGACAAGUUUAUUGAGGUGUGAAUUAUGUUGGUAUUGAAAAGUUCAGUUGUAGGGUUUCUUUGUGCCAUCAAUACAUUUAAGUUUUUGACUUGUAUAAUUUGACAGUGUGAAAGUUACAAAAUUCUGGAUAAAUUGGGAGUGAACAGCUUUGUGGAGCUCUCUUCCUAACUAUGAUCUUCUGAUCAGGGACUUUUAUUCAUAGAUUUUUCUACAUGUAUUUGUCACAUCGUGAUUUUAUUAUUCUUUGUUUGUUCAAGAUGGUGUUGAUCGUGCAUCCAGAACCUUUGUACUACUCUAGCAUAGAUUACAUGAUUUUGGAAUGACUCUUUGGCCUUCCCAAGAUGAGGAAUUUUGGACAACUGAAUAUAAAUUUGAUUCUGAUGAUUUGUUCUUGGUGAUAGCUUAACUUUGUUGGGGGAGGUUUUCUAAAUCUCCAUUACUGUUUUGUUGUUUUUAUUGUGAUUUAUGAUGAUGAUUUGAUGAUGAUACUCCUAAAAAGAUACCCUAUUUAUUAUAGUGGCCAAAGGACUCUGCUGUAUUUGGAAGAAGCCAAAAUCAUGUCAUUUCAUAUGGUUACAAUGAUCUUGCAAUGAUCUUACAAAUUGGAUGGAAAUUUAGUCAACUGUUCCAAGACUCUUCUUUACAUUUUAGUGUUAUUUUUAUACUCAACACAGAAAAGUUCAGUUCCUUUGAGUUUUCUUUGUUGUUGUUAUAGGGGAGAGAGCCUAUAAAUGGGUGGUUCACUGUGGAACCCAUGGCAGCCAGAGGUUGACAUACUGUUCAGCUUGGGAUUUUGGAUAGUGUCAGAGUUUUUGUGUAUAUGUAUCAGAAAUGUAAGUAUGAAUGAAGCAAUAAUGAGGAAUUUUGGUUUGGUUCCAGAAUCUGCAAUUGGCUAGCUGUUUCAUUUGGUUAUCUCUACUCUGACUAUGCAUUCUUCAUGUUUCUUUGUAUAUUUUGAGGAUAUAGUUUUCUUGAUUCUAAGGACCUGUUUUUGCUGUACUGUCGGAUUUGAAAGCUUUAAGCCUUUGGAUUCAACGGGUUACUUUUUUCCUUGAGUGUUUGUUCUGGAAUAGGAGGUGUCCUAGUAUGAUGUGGCAGUGCUGGUAUUUAUUUAUGUUUAGAAUUAUGAAUCUAAGUAUUAGCAGUGCAUCUCUUUCUUGGAUAAUCAAGAUAUAAGCCUAUUUUGCAGUGAGUUGAACGUUUGUAGAUACUUGAUGCAUUUUGUAGUGAGCUGGUUGAUUUUUGAUUUCUGGAUAUCUGGAACAAUUUGCAAUUAUUGAUGAUAAUGGCUACAGAUACAUAGAUCAAGUUUCUUCAAUGAAGUCGUUCUUUAUUAUUUUUAAUUUUGAGCUUUCAUUGUAAGAUACAAAUUGAAUUGUGAGCUUAUUUUUCUGCAGUGUGGUUUGUCAAAAUAAUGAUGUUUAUUCAUCAUAGCAUGGAGCCUGAAGUUUUGGUUUGCCUAUUUCUUUUUAAAACAUACUUUUUUGAUAUUUUAUUGCCUCUGGUGAUGCAGGGACGAUAAUAAUUUUCUUUCUCUUGUUUGAUCUUCCAGUUUUGUAAUUCUGGUUAUUUUCUCUGGUCUUUUGAUUGUGAGGUUUGAUUUGGUUCUGGCUUUAAUGCAUGUUAUUUUCUGCAGUGAAGUGUGUUUUGAAACAAUAACAUUUUGUUAGCAUCAAGCCUCAGGUUUAUUUGGUCUACUUGGAAUGUGAAUUAUUUUCAUUUCAUUUUUUCUCUGCCGAUUCUUAUUGUCUAGUCUUCUGGAUUUUUUUUUUUUCUAGGCUUUAAUUUGUCAUCUGUACUCAUAUUUGAAUUCUUUACAUUUCAUUAUAUUUGUUUCAGCAUCCACGCUUCUUGAUUGCUUUGUGAAAGCUUAUGGUGAGGUUAUCACAUACUUUUCCUUUUUUAACUUUGGGUGAGUUUUACUCGGUCUUUUAGCAUAUAAGAUUCUGGACUAACUCUUCCUUUCCCAAGAUGAGGAAUUUUGGACAACUCGAUUAGGUUCAGUUUCUUAUGAUGAUCUGUUUCAUCGGCCGAAGAACUCCUUUGCUAUUAAGGUAGAAGCUUAAAUUGGGACGUUUCAUAUUGAGCACAGCAUGAUAUUGCAAAUUGGUGUAGUAUGCUUUAAUUUGGUCAUCUUUGCUAUAAUAAAAACUUCAUACUGAUAUCAUUUUGAUACUCAUCAACUUUAUGCGAGACAAAUGUGUCCUGCCAAUACUGGAGUUUAUAUUGUUUUCAUAUCAGGAUUAAAGCAUCCAAGAUUUGAAGUAUAUCUUUAUGCGCAUGCUGACAGCUUGGUUCUGUUAAUUUGCCACUUCCUUUGAAAGUGAGGAAACCCAAAUAAUUGUCAUUUAAGAUGGAGCACCAAUCUGUAAUUGGCUGUGCCAUAUGUUCUCACUGUCAUUAUGCAAAGAUUUGGUGAUCUCUACUCUGGCUAUGAAUUCUUCAUGUUUCUAUUUCUCAAGGAUUUAGUUUUCUUGAUUCUUUAAGUUUCAUGUGGGUAUCACAGGUAGGAUAUAUGGACUGCGAAAGCUGUGGCGGGAAUAUGACUUUUGCUGUGUUACUGUGGAAUUAUCUAUCAAUGUGAUGUGGUAAUGUUGAUUUGUGUGUGUUGUUUAUUAGGAAUCUAAGUAUUAGGAAAGCUUUAAAAUGUAUAAUUUUGUUGUAUGUCUGUUUCAUGGUGAGGAGUUGAAUAUAUAUGACCAUGGGCUCUUCGUUGAUUUUUUUUUUUUUUUCUUUUUUCAGGCUUUGUUCUGGGUUUCUGUGUUGAAACAAAUGCUUAAGUUUUUUAAUAUGGUGACGAUUAUUGGAUUUUAAGUCAAUUUUACUUGAUUGGUUCUCUGUUGAUUCUUGUUGUUUUUUCUUCUCGAUUUACAGGAGAGAAAUAAAUGAAUGUGUGACUGGCGGAGAUUAUUAUUGGUUGGGGUUUGCUUUAAUACUAUUUUUUAAGCCUUAACCUUUAUUUUCUUACAAUUGCUUGUCCUGCAUUUGUUUUUCAUGUUUAGAGUCUGUGUAUAUUUUUCACUACUCAACUCGGGCCAUGAUUGGUGAACAAGUUAAUACUGACUCAUCUCUCUAAAUAUACUGUUACAUAUAUUAAUGUAACCUUGGAAGUGGCAAUUAAUCAUCAAGAACUAACUUAUUAUUUGUACAACUAAAACGAGAAGAAUGAUUCUUAUUCCUAUAUAUGGAUGCAUCAUACUGAAAUCACAAUAUAAUAGUACUUAUUCAAGAUAGAGGCCUACUACAUUGAUUCUUAGAGCUAUAUUUUCUUUGAUUUUUUGAUCCGUUGACUAGAUUGUUUGCUCUGUCGUGGCUAUAAACAAAUUUACAUUUGUGUAUUUGUUUUGGGAUACUCAGUAUCUACUUUUACAGUUCCUUUGAGUUUUCUGUGUGGGAGAGAGGUACACAUACUUUCCGUCCAGUCUAUAAAUGCGUGGUUUGCUAGGGAUCAAGUGUCAGAAAAAGGUUCACAUACUUCCAUUCAGCCUUGGGAUAAAACAAUCGUUUUACUUACAUGUGUAUUUUUGUUGGGAUAGUGUUUCAGAUUCCAGAGUUACAUCUCUUUGCCAUCCCCAAGGAUGAGGAACUGAACAAGCUUGGGUUGCACUUUUUUGUUCUUUUGACUCCUCGUUUAUGGAUUGGUUAUGAAGAAUUCUUUGCACAAUUUAUUGGAUAAAAUUCUUUAUUGGAUAAUCAAGAUAUGUGUUAAUCCGUUUUGCAGCGAAAUGAAGUCAUUGUAUUUUGUGAUUCUUGAUUAAAUGGAUAAGAACAGAUAACAUUUCCAGAUAAAUCAAUUUUCUUCAAUGAGUCAUUCUUUAUAAUUUCUAUUUAUUUGCUUGGAUGGCAAGACAUGCGAAUUGAUUAGUGAAAAUGUUUUUCUGCAGCGCACGGCUUCUUCAUAGCAUGGAGCCUAGAGUUUUAAUUUGGUGAUCUCUAGUAAAUUCUUUUUGUUUCAAUCUUUACUGAUUAUGAGAGCAUAUAUUUCAUGAUUUGUUAUUUAUUCUUUUGUGUUGCAGGUGAGGAUGUGAUUUUGAUAUACAUAUUGAUAUGCUUUCAUGAGAAUUUCAUACCAUAAAACUUUUCUUGACUCUUCUUUUACCGAUCAUUUUUUUUUUUGGUAUAAUUCUUCGUUUGAAAAUUAAGAGAUGCGUUGAUCUGUUUUGUAGUGAGCUGAGAAGUUUUAAUGUCUAGAAUGACUUGAUUUCAAGACGUAGGAAUUAAAGUGUGAACAUAUUUUUCGAGUUUGUCAAAAUAAUAACCUUCUAAUCUGUUAUAAUUUUUUUUUCCUUCUGUACUCUUGUCAGUUGUGAUAUAUAUAAUAUAAGAAUAAGAAUCUUCUAUAGGGGGAGCCUAGUGGAACAGUGAAUCUGCAAUUGGCUGUUGUACUUGUUAUUGUGCUUCCAUUCGGUGAUCUCUUUUCUGACUAUGAAUUUUUCAUGUUUCUUUGUUUGUUUUGAGGAUCAAUACUUAAUUCCUUCAUCAGUUUCUGUGGUGUUACAAGGGUGAGAGACUAUGGAUUACUGUGCGACUUGAAAGCUGUGGUAGACAUUAUUAAGGAAAUGCCUUUGAGCCGUUGGAUAUAGCGGGUCAAUUUUCCUUGAAUUUACUUGUUCUGGAAUAGGUGUCCUAUGAUUUUUAUGUUCACAAUUAACAAGCCUUAAUAUUUGGAGAGCUUUAGUAAUUAUGAUUUUAUAGUACGUCUCUAUCUCUUUCUUGGAUAAUCUCCAGAUAUACAUCUGUUUUGCAGUGAGUUGAAGUUUGAUAUAAGAAUGUUUGUAGAUACUUGAUACAAUGGAUAAUAAAGGAGAGUGAAGAUAAAUCAUGUUUCUUCAAUGACGAGUAGUUCUUUACUAUUUUUACUUUCGGGCUUUGUUCAUAUGACAUACAAACUCAAUUGCGAAUAUACUUUUCUGCAGCAUGGUUUGGCGAAAUAAUGUUCUGCUUAGCGUCGAGCUCGAGUUUUGAUUUGGAGAUCUCUAGUAAAUUCUUUUUAUUUCAGUGUUUCAUUAUUGAUUCUAGGACGAUAUAUUUCUUUAUUUGUUACUUUUCUCUAUGGUUUUGCAGAAGAUGUUAUUUAUAAACACACAUUUCGUUCUGGUUCUAUUCUCUCACUAUUUUUUCUUUUGUACUCUGGUCUCUUGAUGUUGAGGUUUGAUUUGGUGCUUGCUAGAUAAUACUAAAAAUAGAAGAAUAUUGAGAUAUUCGUUUAUCUAUUUUGCAGCAAGUUGAAUUUUGGAUAUAUGGAACAAUUUGCGAUUAUAAUGGAUAAGAACAAUAACGGCUCUAGAUACAUAAUCAAAUAAUUUCAUCGAUAAGUCGUUCUUAAUUACUUUUAAUUUUGGGCUUUGAUUGCAAGACAUACAAAUUGAAUUGUGAAUUUGUUUUUCUGUAGCGUGGUUUGUGAAAUUCAAAAUAAUAACAAUCUUUUUCAUCAUAGCGUGGAGCCUUCAUGUUUUGAUUUUCUUAUCUCUUUUAAAUUAUUUUAGUUUUCAAUAACUUUAUCGCUUUUGAAUGCAUAUUUUCUUGAUAUUUUAUUUCCUCUGAUGUUGCAGGAAAGUAAUUUGUGAACACUGAUUCCUUUUGGUUCUGGUUCUAUCUUUCUUUUGUUUGAUCUUCAUGUUUUGUUUUCUUAUUUAUUUCUGGUCUUUUGAUUUAGUUCUGCGCUUUGUACUACUUCUGUAUCCAUGCUUCUCUCAUUCAUUCUUUGGAUAUAAUUAGUCUUUUUUUUUUUUUUUAUUAUUAUAUGUAUUUGUUCCCAAAUAGUCGUCUUUGGUUGUGUACAAGCUGCCGAUGAAGUUUUUUUGUGUUUCCUCUAGUGUUGAAGUUGUGUGUUUCAGUAUCCACAACCUGAGUAUUACUCUGUCAUAGGGUACAAUAUUCUGAAAUAUCUCUUUGCCCUUCCCAAGAUGAGAAAUUUUGUACAAUUUGGUUACGUCACGUGAUGUUUGCUUUGAUGAUUUGUUAGUUGGUGACAAAAUAACUUUGUUUGGAAAGGUUUUCUAUAAUUUUCUUUUGUUGCUUUUAUGUUGAUUUGUGAUUUAUGAUUAAUGUGAUGAUACUCCUAAGAAGAUAUCCUCUACAUUACAGUGGCCUUAGGACAAGGCUUUGGCGGCAAGGUACACAAUUCAAUCACUUUUCACUUCACUCCUUCUUGAUCACAUAAUGACUUGAGCGUUGGAGUGCUAACAUGUUUUGCAGGUACCUUCCCCACCGUGAUCCACCGUACCAGAAAUCUAAUGCCACCGUAACUGCCUUAAGCCUCACCAUUGGAGUUAUCUCAUUCUGAUCCGGUCAGAACCUGUGUCAUUUCAUAUUGGACGGAGUUUGUUCCAAUGAAUCAUCUCCAACUGGCUUUAAUUUGGUCAUCUUCUUAGACUCUUCACAUUUUCAUUCUUUUGUUGGAUACUCAGCAUCUACUUUGUCAGUUCCUUUGUCUUUUAUGUGUGGGUGUUACAGGAGAGAGAUAACCUAUAAAUCGGUGGUUUGCUGUAGAACCCGUGGCAGGAAGGUUCACAUAUUUACAGUGAAACCGGACAUUUUUUAGAAAUUCUGGACAACUUGGUUUGGAACUUUUAUGUUCAUUUGCCACUUCCUUUGUUAAAAUCAUUUUUCUAUAUUCUUGUAUUCUUGUCAUUUGUGGUAUAUAAAAUAAUCUCAAACAGGUAUCCCUCACAGAAUUUGCAAUUGAAGAACGAACUUGGUAUAGGGAAUGGAACACCGGAAUCUACUCUGACUGAAUUCUUAAUGUUUUUUUGUUUGUUUUGUGGAUCUAGUUUUUUUAUUCCUUUGUCAGUUUGGCAUAGAUUAUCUAUCAAGGGCAUGCUUUUGCUUUGGUGUAACAGGUGGGAGAGGCCAUGAUUGUGUACCGUGGGAUUUGAAAGUUGUCGCGGACUUUAUUAAGGACAUGCUUUGAGCCUUUGGAUUUAAUUCUGGAAUAAGUGUCCUAUGAUAGUGUCAAUUUUUAAGUUCAGAAUUACGAAUCUAAAUAUUAGGGAGAGCUUCAGCAUUUCAUAUCCAUAUGUUUCUUGAAUAAUCUUAAGCUAUACAAUCUGUUUUGCAGUGAAUUGAAGUUUGAUAACAAGAACGUUUGUAGAUACUUGAUACAAAGGAUAAGAAAGGAGAUUCAAGAUAAAUCAUGUUUCUUCAAUGAGUCAUCGUUUACUAUUUUUAUUUUCGAGCUUUGUUUAUAAGACAUACGAAUUAAAUUGCGAAUAUACUAUUCUGCAGAAUGGUUCGACAAAAUAAUGCUGUUCUUCGUAGCGUAGAGCCUCAAAUUUUGAUUUGGAGAUCUUCAGUAAACUCUUUUCGUUUCAGUGUUUCGAUAUUAAUUUUGAGAACAUAUAUUUCUUUAUUUAGUAUUUUUUUUAUUUGGAUUUUCAGGAGAGGAUAUCUAUAUAUGAAUGAAGACACAAUUCCUUCUGGUUCUUGUUUAUUAUUUUUUCUAUGGUACUCUGGUCUUUUGAUGUUGAGGUUUGAUUUGGUUAUUGCUGGUUUCGAUCGUGGGGAUUAUUUUUCUUAUAUAUUUUGCAGCGAGCUGAGCUGACCUCUGGAUAUAUGUAACAAUUUGCAAUUAUAAUGGUUAAGAACGAUAAUGGCUACAUAUACAUAAUCAAAUUUCUAGGAUGUGUAAUUCUUAAUUAUUUUUAUUUUUGGGCUUUGAUUGCAAGACAUACAAAUUGAAUUUUUAACUUGUUUUUCUGCAGCGUGGUUUAUCGAAAUCAAAAUAAUAACGAUCUUUCAUCAUAGCAUGAAUUCCCACAAGUUUUGAUUUGCUUAUCUUAUUUAAAAUAUUACUGUAUAGUUUUGUUGCAGGAAGGUCAUUUGGGAACACUUAUUCCUUCUGGAUCUGGUUCUAUCUUUCUUUUGUUUGAUCUUCAUGUUUUGCAUUCUUACAUGUGAAUUUAAAUAUGAUGCUGUUUUCUGCAGUUUAGUGUUUUUAAAAAAAAUAGCAUUCUGUGUAGUAUCAACUAUCAAGCCUCGGAUUGUGAAUUAUUUUCAUUUCUAUUCUUAUUGUCUAGUUGAUUUACUUCUUUGUUCUACAUUUGGCUUUUUUAUCUGAAUUCUGACAGUGCAGAAGUUUACACGAGGAAGUUGGUGGGCAUCUCAUUGUAAUGCUGAUAUGCGACUUGGUUUGAAGAAUUAUGCUACUAUUCUUUCUUCUUUGUUCUUUUUCUUACAACCUAUUUUUCCUAGCGUAAUUUUUUCUGUUAAUGCAUCAUGUGCUGUUGGCAGAGCAAGUUUUACAUGGGUUUGGUGUACCACAGAAGUUUCCUUCUUUCUCAAUCACACUGCACCUUUUUAAUUCGCCAUCUGAAGUGGAGAAUAUUGGAGAUGAGUUUCGUUGCCGCUUUGUACACCUUCUGUGAACAAAUUUACAAGGACACAUGAACCAUAAUGUUCUGAUGGACGUGUUAUCUAUUUACUAGGGUGAUCUCUACUCUGAUUAUGAAUUCUUUAUAUUUCGGAAUAAUUGUUUCAGCAUCUAUGCUUCUUGAUUCCUUUGUCAAAUCUUAGGGUUAGGUUAUCACAUACUCCCCCUUUUAUCUUUGAGUGAUACGUAUUUCUUCCAGUGUAGAAGUUUUUGUGUUUUUCUGUAUCUGUAACUUCAGUUUUACUCUCUGGGUACAAGCUUUUGGAGUAAAGCUUCCCUUCCCAAGAUGAAUUUUGGACAACUUGGUAGGCCCUUCAGUUGGGGGGUUUCCUUACCCUAAAUACUAUACUUUCUUACAUAUGCUUGUCCUAGAUUUGUUAUUUGUUUGUAUCAUUCCUGAGAAUCUGUGUAUGUUUAUGUUUUAGUUUUGUGCAGUGUCCCAAGGACUCAUCUGUAUAAUGAGGAUGCCUAAAUUGUGUCAUUUCAUAUUGAUUACAAGUUCUUGCAAAUUGGAAGGAAAAUUGUUCCAUUGAAACAUUUGUCUUGGUGGUUUUGCGUUUCUGCAUCAAGAAUGUGAGAACCGAAGCGUACAAGAUUCUCUAUAAUAUAUCUUUUCUAUGGUUACUUAAGCGUAUAUCUCUUCUCUGGAUACUUAAGCUGCUUUGGCGCUUUACUUCAUCCAUCAAAUUUUCACUCAGCUUUUUUGAUUGGUGUCUUAGGAUAAAGCGCUAUCCAUAUGUUUCAAAUAUUAUAAAAGACCCGAUCAGGAUUUCUGGGACAUGAGUUUUGUAAUACUCAUUAACAAUCAUUGGCUCUAGUUAAAUCUGGUUUGUUCAUUGAAUUGUUUGGCAUUCAUUUUUUAGGCUUUGAUCUCGCGUGUAAGGUAUCAUGAACCUCUUUUAUGCAUAUUAGUUUGUUCAAAGAAUAAAGUUAUAUGUAAUAUCAAGCCUAUGUAGAACUUCAUAGGGAGACUGCAUAUGAAGAACAACCUGGUAAAAAAUCCUACAAUUUAUGCAAUGAGUUUUGCUGUUACGGUUGUUCAAUAA